UUCACCAAAUACAAGCAAACUUGACAAACUCGAUUCCUUCCAAUAUCUCUGAUUUCCCCCCCUUUAAAAAUCAUCGAGGCGCUCAAGAAUCCAAGAUCUCAUCGCAGUCCCUUACCAGAUACCAAAUUCAACAGGGUACGUUGAUAUGGCAGGGCGAAACCGUGGUCCCCGUGAAGCCUUUAAUGAUAGGCAUGGUUAUCCUGAAGGGCCUUUCAUGCGGGGCCCUCCUAUGCCUAGGCAUCCUCCUCAUCCUCAUCCUCAUCCUGCUUUGCUGGAGGAAGAGCUUGAAAUGCAGCAUGCUGAGAUUCGGAGGCUCUUAGGCGACAAUAGGAGGCUAGUCGAAGACCGUAUGGCUCUGCAUCGAGAGGUUGGUGCUGCCAAGGAGGAGCUUCAUCGCAUGAACCUCAUUAUUUCCGACAUUCGUGCAGAACAAGAAAUGCGCUGUAGGGAGCUUAGGGAGAAAGGCAUGAAACUGGAGGCUGAUCUCCGAGCAACUGAGCCUUUGAAAAAUGAGACUGCACAACUUCGCACAGAAGUCCAGAAGCUGAAUAACCUUAGGCAGGACCUUGCAGCGCAAGUUCAGAGCCUCACAAAGGAUAUUUCAAGAUUGAAGGCUGAUAAUCAACAGAUUCCUCUUUUAAGGGCAGAGAUUGAUGGCAUGCACCAGGAGCUUAUGCAUGCUAGAGCUGCGCUUGAUUAUGAGAAGAAAGCAAACAUUGAGUUGAUGGAACAGAGACAGACAAUGGAGAAGAACUUGGUUUCCAUGGCCCGUGAAGUUGAGAAGCUACGUGCAGAAUUUGCAAAUGCUGACAGGCCGUGGGGUGCUGGUGGAGCAUAUGGGAUGAAAUUCAGCAGCUCAGAAAGCGCCUUCCCUGCUUCUUAUGGAGAUGGAUAUGGUGUUCAUCUGGGUGCUGCUGACAAAGGUCCUCGGUAUGGUCCGGGUCCAGCUUCAUUGGGAGGAGCCGAGAAGCCUCGCAUGACUCGUCGUUAAGAUCUGGGUGAUGACUGUUUGAAUGGAGCAAUGGCUUUCCUGUUCCUUUUGAUGUCCGUUAUUUCAAUAUAAAUGGGCAUGAAGUAUAGAAGUGACUUCUGCAGAAGGCAGAGGAAGAGAAAGGAUGAUUCAGAUAAACAUCUACAAUGCUGUCUAAAUGGUUUUUGAGUGCAUGGUUAGCGUUGUGGUUGGAGGGUUAAAAGCACCUUUCAUGUCUACUUGCCCCUUGUUGCGGGUGUUCUGCAAGGCGCUGGAAGCACUUUUUGCAAGAAGAGGGUUUUUUCUAACCACGUUACCGUUGCAGCAGCAGUUUACUGUUUCUGGAAUUUUGCUUUCAUGGAGGUUUUAAUGACGUCUCUUAUAACCCCAAUACACCUGCUUCCUUCCUUUAAUGCCCCUCGUCUACUACUAUCUCAUUUUUUUCCACCACCCUAGCCAGUAUUCAUCUGCCAUGUGCAUGAUCGCCAAUCCCCCGGUUCAUUGCAGGAUUUCAAUGCCUUUGAGUGAAAACUCCUCGGCAAGAGCAUGUCAAAUAUUUGUGGAAGGUAUUUGAUUUCUGAUGCCAAUGUGAUGCUGGAGUUGGUUGUAGACAUGGGUUUUUCUUACGGUUCUGAAGUUGUGUAUUGCAAUUUUGCAAGAGCUGGCUGGAUAAUGGAUAACUAUUGUGCCCGGUCAUGCCAGGAUCGCAAGAACUUAAGUUAGGUCACAAGGACAUCUUUAGCACUACUGCUUCUGUUGGGCUUAGUUUUUAUUUUAAAUCUUCGGCCGGGCGGAGGUAUUGGGAAGGUUUAGUUGAUGGGCUUGAUUGGAAGGAAAGAGAUAGGCUUCAGUGGUUACCCGUGAGGGAAAAAUAAUUCAUUAAUUUUUCAUGAUCUAUUUCAAUUGAUUUGAAUUGGAGCACUCCUUAAAAUGAAUACGUCAUACAGAGUUAGGAAUAAAUAAAAGAAUACAUGUACAUACACGAUCCAUUUCAAUUUAUUUGAUUUUUCAUGAAUCCA